AGCGAACGCUGGCGGCAGGCCUAACACAUGCAAGUCGAACGAACCUUUCGGGGUUAGUGGCGGACGGGAGAGUAACACGUGGGAACGUGCCUUUAGGUUCGGAAUAACUCAGGGAAACUUGUGCUAAUACCGAAUGUGCCCUUCGGGGGAAAGAUUUAUCGCCUUUAGAGCGGCCCGCGUCUGAUUAGCUAGUUGGUUGAGGUAAUGGCUCACCAAGGCGACGAUCAGUAGCUGGUCUGAGAGGAUGAUCAGCCACAUUGGGACUGAGACACGGCCCAAACUCCUACGGGAUGCAGCAGUGGGGAAUCUUGCGCAAUGGGCGAAAGCCUGACGCAGCCAUGCCGCGUGAAUGAUGAAGGUCUUAGGAUUGUAAAAUUCUUUCACCGGGGACGAUAAUGACGGUACCCGGAGAAGAAGCCCCGGCUAACUUCGUG
rnacentral:rRNA from 1 species